UACAGAGGUGGCAAGCGUUGUUCGGAAUUACUGGGCGUAAAGGGCGAGUAGGUGGCCAUCUAAGUCAGACGUGAAAUCCCCCGGCUUAACCUGGGAACUGCGUCUGAUACUGGACGGCUUGAGUAUGGGAGAGGGAUGUAGAAUUCCAGGUGUAGCGGUGAAAUGCGUAGAUAUCUGGAGGAAUACCGGUGGCGAAGGCGGCAUCCUGGACCAUUACUGACACUGAUCCGCGAAAGCUAGGGGAGCAAACAGG
rnacentral:rRNA from 1 species